AUUGAACGCUGGCGGCAUGCUUUACACAUGCAAGUCGAACGGUAACAGGCCGCAAGGUGCUGACGAGUGGCGAACGGGUGAGUAAUGCAUCGGAACGUGCCCAGUCGUGGGGGAUAACAACUCGAAAGAGUAGCUAAUACCGCAUACGAUCUAUGGAUGAAAGCGGGGGACCGUAAGGCCUCGCGCGAUUGGAGCGGCCGAUGUCAGAUUAGGUAGGUGGUGGGGUAAAGGCUCACCAAGCCAACGAUCUGUAGCUGGUCUGAGAGGACGACCAGCCACACUGGGACUGAGACACGGCCCAGACUCCUACGGGAGGCAGCAGUGGGGAAUUUUGGACAAUGGGCGCAAGCCUGAUCCAGCAAUGCCGCGUGCAGGAAGAAGGCCUUCGGGUUGUAAACUGCUUUUGUACGGAACGAAACGGCUCUGGUUAAUACCCGGGGCUAAUGACGGUACCGUAAGAAUAAGCACCGGCUAACUACGUG
rnacentral:rRNA from 1 species